rnacentral:lncRNA from 1 species
GAUGCUAUAAUAUCAAAAUAAAUGAAUGUAUACAAAUAUUUCUUGCAUUUAUCGAUAAAAGGAACAAGUAAUUGUUGUUUGCUGACUUUCCUCUUAUGUAAUUAUAUGCUAUUUCAAUCUCUUCAUAAACUUGUACCUCUUUUUGAAUGAAAUCAUUUUUAAUCCUUCAGGAUCAACUUUUGAAUCUACAGAUUCUCUAUGUCAACAAGUAUUUGUUUAUUGCCUAUUUCUAAUUUUUUUUUUCCUAUAACUUAUUAGUUUUCUACUUUUUCCUCAAAUGCCCUUAACUUUGUGUUAAGAUCUAUAUCUCUCAUUGACUCUUUUCAUAAGCUUCUUGUUGCUUUCUUAGUUUUUCCACUUCAUGAUUUAUUUAUCCAUGUCCAACUUUCAUAGAUUCCAAGGCGUUUUAUGGGUCUAUAUAAGCUUUCACCAGCAAAAGUAAGUUGCCAGAGCACUGGAGCACCCACUGCUGCUUCCUUGGUUUACAAGGAUAUGGGGAUGGGGCUUGCCGGUCGAUCAUGUUAAGAUACUAAAUCUUUACCUGCAAAACAAAAAAAAAAAAAAAAAAAAAAAAAAAAAAAAAAAAANAAAAAACAUUAGUUAUUACUUGAACUUACCUGCAAAAAGUUGAUAUCUGUCAUGCAUAUACCAGGCGAUCAUGUGAAGGUAAAUGUUUUUCAAAGUAUAAUGUCCUUAUAAGAAGAAAAAUAAAAAGAGAAUGUAUAAUGCUAUAACUUGAUAGGUUUUUUUGUACAUUGCAUUAAUACGAAUGGUGAAUGCAAAAUGUUGUAAUAGAAUGUAAUGAAUAUAUGAUGUUACAAUAUAUAAAUAUGAAAGUGCUUUGCCUUUUCAUGCAUAUACCAACAAUUCUUCUUUCAUGGCCAUUUCAUUAGAAACUUUUUGUAUUUGUUGCACUCUGCCUCUCCUUGCUUCCAACUCUCUGUAAGGAGUUAUCCACCAGCAAAAGAACCAUGUUAUACAUGGUAGACAUAAGUAGAAAUAAUCUAUUCAGAAAACAACUUAUAAAAUGGUAUCCUUUAAAUUAAUAACAUCAACAUAAAGCAAUUAUAUUUCAAAACAAACAGAAAAUAUACAUUGCCUUUUGAUGUUAUCAAGAAAGUCCUCAAUAGUUGAAAGCCACCAAAAACAUAUAUGGGUAAUGUUAGCAUGCUUCUUUCACCUCUUUAAACACCCAAUAGUGUCUAAAUAUAGCAAAUAAUAGCUAUAGAUUACCCUAAAAUUACAGAUCGCAACUUUAAUGCUUUACAUCUAAACCUGGAUUUGUUUGUUGAUUCCGUUCUUUAGCUUAUACACUAUAGUAGAAACUGUGAUACUGGAAGCAUCCAUUUCCUCAUUAAUAUGAUUUGAUGAUCUAUUCUUUAGCUUAUACACAAUAGCAAAAACUAUGACUUUGGAAUCCUCUAUUUUGGCUAUCUUAUAGCCUUGAAAUAUGUUAUGGAGAUAUUUAGCUAACACCAUAAGGAUCAUAAACCACACAACAUAAAAAUUCGAUUGAUGUUCAGAUUCUUCAUUAUAACUUUGAUAUACUUGAAGUUCCAUCCAUAUCUUUUGAAAUAAUUGGUUCAAAAGAUGCUUCUAUACCUACAUACAAAGGAAGAGAAAUAAAAAAUAAUUAUUUUUCUAUAGUGUUAAGUUGCUGAAAAAUGGGAAUGAUCUAGCAACAGAUUUGGUGUAAUGAACUUCUAGAAGAAUAGAGAUAUGAUAAAUUUGCUAAAAUGGAAAAAGGAUUGUAUAUGGAAGAACUCAGGAGACGAUACAUGGAAUGGAUACAUGAUUAUAAAAUUGAAAUAAACAAUCAGGUCCUUAAUUCACCUAAUAUAACGUAUCCUAUCCUUUUUAUGUUAGUUCUAAAAUUGAAGUAACAAAUAUCACAUCAUAUCCUUUACAUUGGUUUUGUUGAUAAGGUAUCUACAAAAAUCCAUCAAUAAUUUGAACCAACUUUAACUAUGAAAAUAUGAAAAUGUAGAAUACUCAAAUAUCAAACUAAUUUUCAAAAAAAGAUCCUGAAUAGGAAAAAAAUGAGGAGCAAUGUUAUCUCCAUAAGUUUCUACAAAACCACCUAAUGUUGGGCCAGUAACCUUAUAUCUGGUGAAAAUAGACUUGUAUGUCUCAUUGAAGCAUUUCAUCAAACACGUUAAGUGCAACUGGGUUUUUUCUUAAAUUCAUAAUUAUAAAUAAAUGGAAGCCCUCAUUCUGUAUACUAUAUUCAUGACCUGGUGAAAAUUUCCAAUCAGAAUGAUAAGAAAAUUGUACCGGGAGACAUUAGCUGCCUCUGAUUAUACCAUGACGGACUGAGAGUGUGUGAUGAAGAACUCUAAAUUAGAUAUGUAAUACCUUACCGAGCCUUCUUUAGUGACCAGAAAAUCAAUUUGCAUAGUUAUUGCAGUUGGCGAUGCCAACUGCCGAAGACGGAAAAUAAUGAGGCGUCAAGAGCAAGAGACCCAGAGGAUAGAGUAAAAAUAAAUAGCGCAAAGUAUAGAAUCGAUAUACCUUAAAAUUAUACAUGUCGUAUGAAGGAAAGGCACUAUAACCAAAAUCUACUGAUGAAGCAACAAGUUUCUUGAAGGAAGCAGCAGGUGGCAAGCUGCUUUGGGGAAACACCAACAUGUAAGCAAUGAACAAACCCACCUUUUAAGUGUCAUGCCUCGGCCUGAGGCAAAGAUGACCGGAAACAACCAAGUAGGUAGGUGAGACAGGCAACCAAGCAGCUAACGGAAGGAUGACACAAUUACCCAAUUCAGAGUUCUUGGAGAGAAAGAUUACAUUUGGAGAUGAGAUUAAUGGUUUGUACAGGUUGAUUAGGGAAAAACCUAAGCUUUUAUGGAGUUAUCCAUUUUAAGUGAUAUCAAGAUGAUCAAUUAGGUUUCCUCGAGAGAAAGAGAAAGACCCAAAUUCCACUAUUCUUUGUGAAUUAGAAAAUCAAAGCCAUACCUUCAGACAAUAAAUUAGGGCAGAAAUUGCAGAAAUCCACCAUCAGGCCAUCUCAUGUGCCCCCAUAACCAUAAGAUAGUAAGCUCUCCCACACUUGUUGAAAGUGAGCUUGAGCAGAUCAACCCAAUACAACUUCCGACUCCUUGUAAACAUAUCCAUCUUCAGCACCAAUGAUAAAAACCAGCUUUUGAGAAAGAAAUCAAACCAUCUGUUACCUAAAUCUCUUCUAUUUUAUAACUAAAAAAAUUGAGAAUUGAUUGAUUAAUUGAAGCGGAACAACAAUUGUGGUGGAGCAGAAAUAUCAGCAUAAUUGUGUGGAACAACGGGGGUGUUUGGGAUAGAUGGCAAAAGGACUUGUGGAAAAGAUCACAGAGAAAACAUGUUUG